rnacentral:rRNA from 1 species
AGAUUAGAUCCGUAACUUCGGGAGAAGGAUCCCCCUGGCAACAGGGGCGCAGUGAAAAGGCCCAAGCGACUGUUUACCAAAAACACAUGUCUCUGCUAAGCCGUAAGGCGAUGUAUAGGGACUGACACCUGCCCGGUGCUGUAAGGUUAAACUAUGCUGUUUUGGCAGUGUACAUAAGCCUCAGUAAACGGCGGCUGUAACUCUGACGGUCCAAAGGUAGCGAAAUUCCUUGUCGGGUAAGUUCCGACCUGCACGAAUGGUGCAACGAUCUGGGCACUGUCUCAGCCAUGAGCUCGGUGAAAUUGUAGUCUCGGUGAAGAUGCCGAGUACCCGCAGUGGGACGAAAAGACCCCGUGAACCUUUACUAUAGCUUAGUAUUGGCUUUGGAUAAGUAAUGUGUAGGAUAGGUGGGAGACUUUGAAGCGGCGUCGCCAGGCGUUGUGGAGUCAUUGUUGAAAUACCACCCUUUGCUUAUCUAGAGUCUAACUUUCAAUGAAAGGACAGUGCUUGGUGGG